rnacentral:ncRNA from 1 species
UUAUUGGAGAGUUUGAUCCUGGCUCAGGACGAACGCUGGCGGCGUGCCUAAUACAUGCAAGUCGAGCGAAUCUGAGGGAGCUUGCUCCUGAAGAUUAGCGGCGGACGGGUGAGUAACACGUGGGUAACCUGCCUGUAAGAUUGGGAUAACUCCGGGAAACCGGAGCUAAUACCGGAUAACAUUUCGAACCGCAUGGUUCGAAGUUGAAAGGUGGCUUUUGCUACCACUUACAGAUGGACCCGCGGCGCAUUAGCUAGUUGGUGAGGUAACGGCUCACCAAGGCGACGAUGCGUAGCCGACCUGAGAGGGUGAUCGGCCACACUGGGACUGAGACACGGCCCAGACUCCUACGGGAGGCAGCAGUAGGGAAUCUUCCGCAAUGGACGAAAGUCUGACGGAGCAACGCCGCGUGAGCGAAGAAGGCCUUCGGGUCGUAAAGCUCUGUUGUUAGGGAAGAACAAGUACCGUUCGAAUAGGGCGGUACCUUGACGGUACCUAACCAGAAAGCCACGGCUAACUACGUGCCAGCAGCCGCGGUAAUACGUAGGUGGCAAGCGUUGUCCGGAAUUAUUGGGCGUAAAGCGCGCGCAGGCGGUUUCUUAAGUCUGA